CUCUUCCUGUGUGAGGUAGGGUCGUACUCUACGGAUGUUCCUCUUCCUGUGUGAGGGAGGGUCGUACUCUACGGAUGUUCCUCUUCCUGUGUGAGGUAGGGUCGUACUCUACGGAUGUUCCUCUUCCUGUGUGAGGUAGGGUCGUACUCUACGGAUGUUCCUCUUCCUGUGUGAGGUAGGGUCGUACUCUACGGAUGUUCCUCUUCCUGUGUGAAGUAGGGUCGUACUCUACGGAUGUUCCUCUUCCUGUGUGAGGUAGGGUCGUACUCUACGGAUGUUCCUCUUCCUGUGUGAGGUAGGGUCGUACUCUACGGAUGUUCCUCCUCCUGUGUGAGGUAGGGUCUCUUCCUGUGUGAGGUAGGGUUGUACUCUACAGAUGUUCCUCUUCCUGUGUGAGGUAGGGUCGUACUCUACAGAUGUUGUAGAGCAUGUUUGCAGAGAACAACAGGGUGUUGUCCAGGGUCACGCCAAGGUUCUUUGCUCUCUAGGAGGACGACACUGUGGAGUUGUCAACUGUGAUGGAGAGGUCUUUGAGCGGGCAGGUCUUCCCCAGGAGGAAGAACAGUUCCGACUUGUUGAGGUUGAGGUGGAGGGCCGACAUCCAAGCUGAGAUAUUUGCCAGGCACCAGAGAUGCGUGUCGCCACCUGGGUGUCAGAAGGUGGUAAGGAGAAAAACAGUUGAAUGUCAUCUGCA
ensembl:lncRNA